rnacentral:rRNA from 1 species
GACGAACGCUGGCGGCGUGCUUAACACAUGCAAGUCGAACGGAAAGACCCUGCUUUUGUGGGGUGCUCGAGUGGCGAACGGGUGAGUAACACGUGAGUAACCUGCCCUUGACUUUGGGAUAACUUCAGGAAACUGGGGCUAAUACCGGAUAGGAGCUCCUGCUGCAUGGUGGGGGUUGGAAAGUUUCGGCGGUUGGGGAUGGACUCGCGGCUUAUCAGCUUGUUGGUGGGGUAGUGGCUUACCAAGGCUUUGACGGGUAGCCGGCCUGAGAGGGUGACCGGCCACAUUGGGACUGAGAUACGGCCCAGACUCCUACGGGAGGCAGCAGUGGGGAAUAUUGCACAAUGGGCGGAAGCCUGAUGCAGCAACGCCGCGUGCGGGAUGACGGCCUUCGGGUUGUAAACCGCUUUCGCCUGUGACGAAGCGUGAGUGACGGUAAUGGGUAAAGAAGCACCGGCUAACUUCGUG